UUAUAAAAUUAUCAGCAAUGAAAUUAACAAGUAUAUAUCAAUGGUACUUAUUUGUUUAACAAUUUACUAUAUAUAUCAUCUAGCAAUAAUUGAUUUUUGGGUAUUGUUUCCGGAAAUUUUUCAUAUUUUCUCCGUAAACGUACGGGUGAAUUGUUUUUCUAUCAAACAUCUUCCUGGUUUUGAAACAAAUAUUGUCACACCGGCCAUGACUUAAAAAAUAAAAAAAUAAACAGAUGUGAUAUAGCAUAUUCACAGUAUGCAACAGUUUGUUCUCGAACUUCAAUUUUGAACAGAUCCCAUUGUAGUCCUAUAUUAUCAACCGCAUUUGGCCUUGACUUCCGUCAGACAAUGACCCAGAUUCGGAUUAGCAAGUUGAAGUGAUAUGUCCGAACACCAGACGUUAUCUAAAGAAAACAAUUUCAAUGAUGGCUUUGUGAUAUACCGUAUUCCAAGUAUUAACCGAGAAUGAAAAGUACUAUUAUUGGAUUUACAUACGGAUAUUAAGAAAACACGGAUUGCUAUAAAUUGUGGUUCGUGUUCUAAAAAUAGAAUUGGGUUUUCCUUUUCUAUACAUUGCGAAGAAGUUUGAAAUAUAUUACCACUCUGGAUUAUAAACGUGGCAUAUGUGACUGAUGGAUUUCUUUUCACAUGGAAUAAUAAUUGUUGGAUAUAGAAAUUUCUUACAAUAUUAAUAUCAAUGAUGUUGUUUUUACCAAAUAUACAUUCACAAAUUGUAAUGUUCUAUUUAUAGCGUACCAUACUAACAGGUGAUUGUUUGGAACAUAAAUCUUUUUUAUGACAUACAUAUGUUUGACAUUCAAAUAGUCAUUAUCUUUUGAAUGUAUGCAAUCUGGCAUUGCAUCACAUUCAUUUUUUUUUGUUUUUUUUAAUUAAUAAAAUAAAAAUAAUAAAUGCUAUGUACAUAUAUUUAUAUUUGAACAUUGUACUGUUUUAACUAUUUAACACUUGUUUUGUAAUAGAUUUACAUAUGGUACUGGU